ensembl:lncRNA
AUGUAUAUAGGCUGGCCUGGCUUCCUAUAUAGCUUGAUACGUGACCAUCGUGUGCUUGUACUCCCUCGUUUGAGCACAUUUCAACCAGCUCAAUCCGAGCACAGUUGCAGGUCUCCAGACCAGAGCUGCAUCAACACACCACACAAAGAAACCAACCCCAGACCCACUACAGACAUGAUCAUCAGACUGGGCAGACUGACACCUGGAUACUUCCGCCUCCUACAGAGACAGGUGGCGGGUGAGGUGCAGACCCAGCCACAGGACCGCGUGGUCAACCAGAUAGCCAUGAUGCUGGCCAUCAUGGGCCUAAGCCUGUCCUACUACAGUGCCAAACGGAUGACCGAGAAGGUCCAGAGGCUCCAGAAGAGAAGAGAUCCCCAUACACCCUGAACCUGGAGAGAAGACGAACCAACGCAGAGAUGUUGCGGAGAGGAGACAUGGAGAUGUCGGUGUCCAGAACAACACCUUUUCACAACCAAUCAGUCAUAGUCACGUCGUUCACACACUGGAGUUUUACUGGGAUCACUCUCAAUGCGAGGAGAGUUCGGGGGCUGCUGCUUUUAAGGGUAUCUUGUUAAUUUUUCACACCAAUUUGGGGUGUGUGUGUGUGUGUGUGUGUGAAGAAAGGCCCACGGUGGGGUUCGUGUGGUCCUGAUAAGGUCGGGGGGGGGGGGGGGGGUAAAAAGUACUACCAGCUGUCUAUGGUAAGGCUGGGCCUGAGCUUUAGUUGUUAAGGUACAUGCGUGCAAGAUGCCAUCAAUACUGUUCUGCGCUAAAAAGGGAUAGAAAAAUGCCAAACGAAUUAUUCUAAUGUACUGUGAAACUUGCCAGUGCUCCAAGCAUAUGACUGUGUGUAAAAUAACUGAACAGUAAUAAUUUUUUAAGGGAAGGCUAUCUGCAUUUGAGAUGUAUCUGGUAAUGACUGAAGGCAGGCCCAUAGUGUGAGGAGAAAGCAACCCUCUUAGGUUUUUGUCAUUUCUUAUAGUUAAAUAAAAGUGAGCCAUGUGAAGUAGAUGUGGAGGAGGAGUCUCAAACUGGUCAAUAAUUCCACACAUGUUUAAUAUCUGUUAAUGUCAGACACAAAAAAAAAACAGUGAAAGUGAAAUGCAGUAUUUGAACGUUUUAGGAACUUGCUUAUCCAAAUCUAUGAAAAGGCACUUUAUCCAAAUAACAACUUUGUUUUUCCCACAAUGUUUCCAGUUUAAUCGAUUUGAGUCUUGAUAAAGAACGUUGGCUUUCUUUAAAGAACUCGAUCUGCAAUAGCUACUAGGUGUUACCACAGAAUAUUCUAACUUCAGUAAACGUUGUAUGGGUCUACAUAAAACUUAAGAUUUCAUUAAUACUGUCACUUUUAGUUUUUUAAAGAAUCAUAACAUGAAUGUAUAUUUCUGUGAUGUUUAGAAAAAUCAAAUAAAGCUGUGACUUGAAUGAUAAGAACAGGGGCAGUUUAGUAAUGAUUUUUAAGGUGUUUGGGAAUUCUGGAAAAACUGAUGUGAACAAGCUCCAUUUUAUCACAAUAUUUAUCUUUCGCUAAGGGAAACUUCUCUUAAUCUCUAAAUUUCUCUGUGAAAUGACGCUGUUGCCACACCAGUUCAGCUCAAUAGCUGUUUGGUUGGAUUUGGCAUAUUAGACUGUGUCAUAGCACCACUUCCUGUAUCAUAGGGUGUCUGCAGGAGCAUGAUGGCUGCACAGAACAGGAAGUGUUCAGGCCUCCAAACAGCCGUUAUCUUUUUCAUAACUGGGGCAUCUGUAUCUGUCUGUAGUCUCUGUACCAGUCUGCCCUCAAAUCCGUAGCCCCUGCUGCACCACUUUAACAGUGGUGGCAAAAUCACAGGGCAAUGUUUUAAUCUAUACUGAACAAUUUCAACAAUUUCAAAUAUUUACCUAGUUACAGUUCAUAUAAUGAAAUCGGUCAUUUGAAAUAAAUUCAUGAAU